UAGUCCACGCCGUAAACGAUGUAUGCUAGUUGUUGGUAUCCAUAGGAUAUCAGUGACGCAGCUAACGCGAUAAGCAUACCGCCUGGGGAGUACGGUCGCAAGAUUAAAACUCAAAGGAAUUGACGGGGACCCGCACAAGCGGUGGAGCAUGUUGUUUAAUUCGAAGCAACGCGAAGAACCUUACCUACACUUGACAUACUAGUCGGGAUUUCCAGAGAUGGAUUUCUUCGGUUCGGCCGGACUAGAUACAGGUGCUGCAUGGCUGUCGUCAGCUCGUGUCGUGAGAUGUUAGGUUAAGUCCCGCAACGAGCGCAACCCCUAUUGCUAGUUACCAGCGGAUCAUGCCGGGGACUCUAGCGAGACUGCCUGCGCAAGCAGUGAGGAAGGUGGGGACGACGUCAAGUCAUCAUGGCCCUUAUGCCCAGGGCUGCACACGUGCUACAAUGGACGGUACAAUGGGCAGCUACCUCGCGAGAGGAUGCG
rnacentral:rRNA from 1 species